rnacentral:misc_RNA from 1 species
UGCAGCAGGCGGCGGCGGCCC